CACAGGCACGCACACCCAAAUUGGCCUUUAUCAGGCAAAUACUACUUCCACAUAAUAAUGUCAGCUUCUCCUCAUUGGUGGCUAACUGGGAAGACCUUUAUUCCAUUUUUCUGCUUUACCCAGAAACACAUACAGGCACAGAGAGGUUAUUGAUGGCAGCAAGAGAGCAGAGCCCAGGACACUCACAACCAUGGCUUCCCAUUCUCUGUGCUUGCUCCACCAGGAGUCGCAUGAAAACCUGUACAUGACAGAGCCCCACUUCUAUUUUUGUGUGUGUGUGUGUCACUACAGACUGAAUUCUAGAAAUGCCUUUGUAAGAAUUUUGUUUACUGAGUGGGGCAGUCCCGAGACAGAAAUGUGAUGAGCUCAGGGGCUGGUGUGGCCAAAUAUCAGUCUGAAAGAAUGGUUUAGACAAAGGGUAAGAGGAAAUGCUAGGGACAUGAGCUCAUUUUCUACUCACAAAAGAAGUUAGAAGGUUACAUUUGAGAUUCAGCCUCUGUGCCUUUUACUCAAACCGGUGCUGGAGGCCCUCGUGCAACCACAGCUCCACACAGAUCACCACAGAGACUUUUCUGAGCAAAAACCUUGUUAACUUCUCUUAGAGAAAGUUCUAUUUCAUGUUUCAAAUCUACAAAGAAAAAUGUGCACCUAAUUGGACCGUCACUGUGUCUUACAAUACAUGGGUAACUCAUUUCAGAUGAAAACGUUCGUUACAACUCUCUGGUCAGUCUGCCCCUUUCUCUCUUUUUUCUUGUUUGUUUGUUUGUUUGUCUUUGAGACAGUCUCACACUGUGACCCACAGAGAUCUGGACUUGGCAACCCCCCAACCCCAGCCUCACAAAUGCUUUGGUGACAGACAACCACACCUUUUUCUUUUUCCAGUCUUGCAGGGUGAUCUGUCCCUUUUGCACAGGAAGCAGUUGAGUGGUUCUACUUUUUCCAUGGACGUUGUAGUUAAAGGGCUUUUUCUUCCCAACGUUAUGACUUGAGGGAGCACGCAUUCAUAGCUGAGAGAAAAUUAACGACACUGAAUGGUGAAAUCCUCACCCGAAACUGAUAUUAAUAUCAUUAACAGUAAUGCUAUUAGCAACACUUUUAUUCAUUACCAUGUUUUUAAAGAUAUAAUAUAUACACCCAUAUGUGAGAAUUCUCUAUAUAGUCCUAAUAAGCAAAUCUCAUAUAGCAUGAAUAGUUAUUUUCAUAAUGAAUUUUGCCUGGCAGGGGGCUCCAAAAGUUAUUUCUUCUAAUCAGAGAGGAACUGGAAUUCUCAUUAAUUAUCCUAUUGUUCAGGCUAAGUUGUUUCUUUUUUCUGUAGAAAAAUUGGCCAAUGGGUGACUAUAUACCUCAGUGUUAACCUGUCAGCACCGGUGAACACAGCAGCUUACAUCCGGGACCUCAGCAUGGGACAAAGGAGAACAAGGGUGCGACAGUGAACUCAAAAUGUCCAGAAACAUUGAGAGCAAGGGCUGGCUAAAUGCAUGACUGCUGUGGCCCGGAACAUCUGAAUGGCCUAUCCUAAAUGAGUUACACACACAGCUACUACCCUUUCUUCAUGAGAUUUUACAACAAGCUCUCCAAGGCUGGCUUCUCUAAACAGGAUUUACUUUAACUGAGGCCACGAGAAAACUGGAAACAGGAGAAAGCCUGGAACCAAAGAAGGUCUUGUGACUUACUGUUUACCUGGAAGCCUGAAGUGUGUGUUAUAGUUUCACCGCACUGAGAGGCCAAGCCUGCAUCUUUCAUCAUACAAAGAGCCUGCUGUGUCCUCCUGGGAUCUAUCAGUGAAGCACAGAGAUUCCCACUUAUUUUUUCCCUUUAGUUUUAUUCUGCCUGUUUGUUGACGUUGCCCAGAGCUUGUGUUCUAACUUUAUUACACCUGGUUGGUGAAGCCACCCUUCAUCUCUAGGAGAAAAUGACAGAAAGAUGUGGAAUCCGCCUCUGGAUGAGAACACAAAGUAGCUCUCAGAAGAAAAAGAAGUGGCCACACACAGAGGUUGCGAUGAAGCCACUGGGAAGAAACACCUUUAAAAAUCCACACGAAUGCUCCGAGGAUGACCUCUAUGUUAUAUGUCCGCUAUCCGUGAGAAUCUUGCUUCUCAAUGAUAUUUCAGGAGGUUGCAGAAGCUACCCUAGGCCAUAGCCCAGAACCACCACAUCUCCAUUUGUACUUCUUCAUGACAACUGGAAAGGUUGCUUGAAAUACCCAGAUGGACAGCAACUCUGGUAUCUAGCUUCUAGCCCUCCAUUUUCACAGCUCACUUCACAUCCCCAUUCGUCUAUGUCAUUAUCAUUCGUGUGCAAACAAAGGCAUGCGGUGUGCUCUAAGUAUGGGUGGAAACGUAUUUGUCACCUCGUCAUCCAGCAGAUUUGUCUGUGAAAGAGGCCUUUGCAGGUCUGUGAUUUCAUCGCUUAGCUUGGUGUCUGUUGUGUGCAAAGAAAACCCACAACUGGUCAAACUAUGAUAUGCACAUUCCAGAGGCUGCUGACAGAAAUGCCGGACAAAGAAACUGCUGUGUUUGUAAAUUGAACCCUGUACCACAACCCUUUCCUUAUGCAACAGUGUCCCUGGAACUCACACUGAGAAAGGUGAGUUAGCAGAUGGGCCACAAGGAUGGUACUAUUUGGUCUACUGAAAUUAUUCUAAUUAAAUCAUCAUGGAGGUCUGCAUUAUAUCAAGUCAGAUAUUUGAGGAAGGUAAUCAAAUUCAUUGUAUUAACCUGACAUGUUGACUGUUAGUUUUCAGGAGACCAUUUCAGCAUCAACGUGUUUAAUUUAUAACCAGAAGUAGAGCAUGAAGUUCUUUUGCAGAUAUUGACUUGCGUGAUGGUUACUUCCAGUGACGUCUACUAUGAUUUUAUCCAACAGGAAUGAUCUGAAGUGCUUCCUAAUACAAAAUGAGGAACUUUAAAACGCUGUCAUUUUCUUCCAAGUGCUGUCUAUUCUCAUGUAAUGAAGUGUAGUUAAAACCAUGGAGAUAUUAUGCAAAAGAUACUCAUUUUAAGAAAAGAACCAGGAAAUGCAAGUUUUAGUAAGGUGUACGUUUUUGUAUUCAACUCAAAAUGUCCAUGAAAAAUUAGAGCUUGGUUCAAUGUCUGUUUUGGGAAGACACAAAUAUAAAACAAUCAAACAGAUAAACAAAAAACCCACUGUACCCAAGCAAGGAUGAUUUAAAUGACAGAUGAAGCCAGAUUGAUAUCUCAUGUAACAUGACUUCAGCCAACAUUCAAAUAGCAAGGAAAAUGAGACUAAAUUCAGUAAACACUGUUGUUUCCUGUCGAGCCCAUUCUAUGCUAUUAUAAAGUGUCAGACUUACAAUUUACUGCAAAGAGUGUACCCAUGCCACUGGCAUUCAGUACAAUCUCUUGUAAGAGCGUGGACUCUGCCAUUAGACAGACUAAAAUGACAGUUUUGUUAUUUAAUAGCUGAGUGCCACUCACUGGGUGACAAUAUACUUUUUAA
rnacentral:sRNA from 1 species